rnacentral:rRNA from 1 species
ACGCAGAACUCCGAUUGCGAAGGCAGCUUACUAAGCUACAACUGACACUGAAGCACGAAAGCGUGGGGAUCAAACAGGAUUAGAUACCCUGGUAGUCCACGCAGUAAACGAUGAUUACUAGCUGUUUGCGAUACACAGUAAGCGGCACAGCGAAAGCGUUAAGUAAUCCACCUGGGGAGUACGCCGGCAACGGUGAAACUCAAAGGAAUUGACGGGGGCCCGCACAAGCGGAGGAACAUGUGGUUUAAUUCGAUGAUACGCGAGGAACCUUACCCGGGUUUGAACGUAAGGAGACAGGGGUGGAAACAUCCUUUCAGCAAUGACUGCCUACGAGGUGCUGCAUGGUUGUCGUCAGCUCGUGCCGUGAGGUGUCGGCUUAAGUGCCAUAACGAGCGCAACCCUUAUUUUCAGUUACUAACAGGUGAUGCUGAGGACUCUGAAGAGACUGCCAGCGUAAGCUGUGAGGAAGGUGGGGAUGACGUCAAAUCAGCACGGCCCUUACAUCCGGGGCGACACAACGUGUUACAAUGGUAAGGACAAAGGGCAGCUACCGGGCGACCGGAUGCGAAUCUCUAAACCUUAUCUCAGUUCGGAUCGGAGUCUGCAACUCGACUCCGUGAAGCUGGAUUCGCUAGUAAUCGCGCAUCAGCCAUGGCGCGGUGAAUACGUUCCCGGGCCUUGUACACACCG